rnacentral:rRNA from 1 species
CAGUAGCCGCGGGAAUACAGAGGGUGCGAGCGUUAAUCGGAUUUACUGGGCGUAAAGCGUGCGUAGGCGGCUUCUUAAGUCGGAUGUGAAAUCCCUGAGCUUAACUUAGGAAUUGCAUUCGAUACUGGGAAGCUAGAGUAUGGGAGAGGAUGGUAGAAUUCCAUGUGUAGCGGUGAAAUGCGUAGAGAUCUGGAGGAAUACCGAUGGCGAAGGCAGCCAUCUGGCCUAAUACUGACGCUGAGGUACGAAAGCAUGGGGAGCAAACAGGAUUAGAUACCCGAGUAGUCCCUGUCUCUUAUAC